CACCGCCGCGGUAAUACGGAGGGUGCAAGCGUUAAUCGGAAUUACUGGGCGUAAAGCGCACGCAGGCGGUCUGACAAGUCAGAUGUGAAAUCCCCGGGCUUAACCUGGGAACUGCAUUUGAAACUGUCAGGCUGGAGUCUUGUAGAGGGGGGUAGAAUUCCAGGUGUAGCGGUGAAAUGCGUAGAGAUCUGGAGGAAUACCGGUGGCGAAGGCGGCCCCCUGGACAAAGACUGACGCUCAGGUGCGAAAGCGUGGGGAGCAAACAGGAUUAGAUACCCCUGUAGUCCCUGUCUCUUAUACC
rnacentral:rRNA from 1 species